CCUACGGGAGGCAGCAGUGAGGAAUAUUGGUCAAUGGACGAGAGUCUGAACCAGCCAAGUAGCGUGAAGGAUGACUGCCCUAUGGGUUGUAAACUUCUUUUAUAUGGGAAUAAAACGUUCCACGUGUGUGAUUUUGUAUGUACCAUAUGAAUAAGGAUCGGCUAACUCCGUGCCAGCAGCCGCAGUAAUACGGAGGAUCCGGGCGUUAUCCGGAUUUAUUGGGUUUAAAGGGAGCGUAGGUGGAUUGUUAAGUCAGUUGUGAAAGUUUGCGGCGCAACCGUAAAAUUGCAGUUGAAACUGGCAGUCUUGAGUACAGUAGAGGUGGGCGGAAUUCGUGGUGUAGCGGUGAAAUGCUUAGAUAUCACGAAGAACUCCGAUUGCGAAGGCAGUUCACUGGACUGCAACUGACACUGAGGCUCGAAAGUGUGGGUAUCAAACAGGAUUAGAUACCCGGGUAGUC
rnacentral:rRNA from 1 species